CAGAGAACAUCUGUCACUUCCUGAGGUCUCAGAGUCAGACCGCCCCUCCACUGUCACCCAGAUUUAGAAAGUGAGAUUUAGAGAACCCCAAGAUCACUUGGAACCCUCAAGGGAAAUUUCAGGAUUUUUUUCCAAAUAGGAAGCCUAAGAUGGAAAAGCUCAACGAUUCUCAUAAACCC
rnacentral:lncRNA from 1 species